rnacentral:rRNA from 1 species
CCUACGGGAGGCAGCAGUGAGGAAUAUUGGUCAAUGGACGAGAGUCUGAACCAGCCAAGUAGCGUGAAGGAUGAAUGCCCUAUGGGUUGUAAACUUCUUUUAUAUGGGAAUAAAAUGUUCCACGUGUGGGUUUUUGUAUGUACCAUAUGAAUAAGCAUCGGCUAACUCCGUGCCAGCAGCCGCGGUAAUACGGAGGAUGCGAGCGUUAUCCGGAUUUAUUGGGUUUAAAGGGAGCGUAGGUGGAUAGUUAAGUCAGUUGUGAAAGUUUGCGGCUCAACCGUAAAAUUGCAGUUGAAACUGGCAGUCUUGAGUACAGUAGAGGUGGGCGGAAUGCGUGGUGUAGCGGUGAAAUGCUUAGAUAUCACGAAGAACUCCGAUUGCGAAGGCAGCUCACUGGACUGCAACUGACACUGAGGCUCGAAAGUGUGGGUAUCAAACAGGAUUAGAUACCCGAGUAGUC